rnacentral:rRNA from 1 species
UACGUAGGUGGCAAGCGUUGUCCGGAGUUAUUGGGCGUAAAGCGCGCGCAGGCGGUGCGGUAAGUCUCUGGUGAAAGCGCUCGGCUUAAUUGGGCGAGGGCCGGGGAGACUGCCACGCUGGAGGGGAGCAGAGGCGAGUGGAAUUCCGGGUGUAGUGGUGAAAUGCGUAGAGAUCCGGAGGAACACCAGUGGCGAAGGCGGCUCGCUGGGCUCUACCUGACGCUGAGGCGCGAAAGCGUGGGGAGCGAACCGG